UAAGACCUCAAAUCAGGUGGGAGCUACCCGCUGAAGCUUAAGCAUAUCAAUAAGCGGAGGA
rnacentral:rRNA from 1 species